rnacentral:tRNA from 1 species
AGAGGUAUGGCUCAAGUGGUAGAGUGCCUGCCUAGCAAGUACAUGGUCCCAAGUUCAAACCCCAGUACCUCUC